rnacentral:lncRNA from 1 species
CUCCAUGCCAGUGCUUCUUCACAUUAAGACUCCAAGAAUGACCGUUUCCCGCGGGAAAGAGAGCAGCCGAACGCCAAACAUCAGCACAAACAGAAGGUGUUGGAGAGACUCCUUAGGAUCCGGAGACGGGCGGUGAAAUAUCUAAGAGGGCCUCUGAGGUAGCUGGUUAAAAUGCAGCCGCUGCACAGCCAAAGCCGGAACUGUCAGGGAACUGAAGCCCCCUGGCCCUGAACCAAAUCCCGGCACAGGAAAGCCAGGCUGUUUCUUACAGGAAACCCCAUCCAGCGAAUGCCCACUGCUGCCAGUGCCUGUGCGCACCCCGGAGACGCAUCAGACAACCAGCAAAACCAGGCCCAUUGGACUUCACAGAUCUCUCCUGGUGCAGCCGGUUCGGAACCUUGUGGAGUUGGCUGCCUGCCCGGUGCGGAUGGAUCACUUGGGUCUGGGUCUGGGGUCUGGGGUCUGGGGUCUGGGUCUGUCUGGGUCUGGGUUGGUUGGUUGCCUCCACACUUGGACAUUUCUGGUGCAGGAGUUCAUGAGCUCACAGGUACAGUCCCUGAAAACUACAUUGCCAAGGGUUAUAACAGAUCAGAA